GAUGAACGCUGGCGGCGUGCCUAAUACAUGCAAGUCGAGCGAACAGACGAGGAGCUUGCUCCUCUGACGUUAGCGGCGGACGGGCGAGUAACACGUGGAUAACCUACCUAUAAGACUGGGAUAACUUCGGGAAACCGGAGCUAAUACCGGAUAAUAUAUUGAACCGCAUGGUUCAAUAGUGAAAGACGGUUUUGCUGUCACUUAUAGAUGGAUCCGCGCCGCAUUAGCUAGUUGGUAAGGUAACGGCUUACCAAGGCAACGAUGCGUAGCCGGCCUGAGAGGGUGAUCGGCCACACUGGAACUGAGACACGGUCCAGACUCCUACGGGAGGCAGCAGUAGGGAAUCUUCCGCAAUGGGCGAAAGCCUGACGGAGCAACGCCGCGUGAGUGAUGAAGGUCUUCGGAUCGUAAAACUCUGUUAUUAGGGAAGAACAAAUGUGUAAGUAACUAUGCACGUCUUGACGGUACCUAAUCAGAAAGCCACGGCUAACUACGUG
rnacentral:rRNA from 1 species